AAGGGUGCGUAGGCGGCCUGUUAAGUCAGGGGUGAAAGACGGUAGCUCAACUAUCGCAGUGCCCUUGAUACUGAUGGGCUUUGAAUGGACUAGAGGUAGGCGGAAUGAGACAAGUAGCGGUGAAAUGCAUAGAUAUGUCUCAGAACACCGAUUGCGAAGGCAGCUUACUAUGGUCUUAUUGACGCUGAGGCACGAAAGCGUGGGGAUCAAACAGGAUUAGAUACCCCGGU
rnacentral:rRNA from 1 species